ACUCUGUUCAAGUAUCUUGUACCAGUAUCGAACAAGUAAUUGGCCUCUAACUGGAACAGAGUGUCUGUUCUCUAUUCACUGGAUACUUCAACUAGAGCGCUGACUGGCAUCGUCUUAAUCAGCCUUUAGUCAUGAUUUGCAACUAGUGUAUGCAGUGUAGGUUAUGCAACUAGUGUCAACCCAAAAAGUAUAUUUUUAUUCGAAUUAUUCCUGCGGUCCGUCUGAGAAGGAUAUUCUUAAAAUGUUUAAUCACAUCGGGAAGAAAUGAAUUACCGCUAAGUCUGACCAAUUUUCGACGCGCUAUCCUCAUGCUGGAAGCUGGCAAGGUACAACAGUAUCCCUUCACGGUGAACCGAGAGGUGCCGGAAAUCGCAUGAAUACUUGUGAUUACUCCGAGGAACCGCCAAUCAGAUUGUCCUCGAGCAAAGUCCACAGAAGCUAGAAGCGUUGUCUGACUGCUGCGAUGAAAGUUCGGAUUCGAAAUUCACCGCCCUUCAGGAUUUGAGGCGAACGGGUAGAAAGCAAAAUAUUCGAACUCGAUCGGAUUGAUCCAUUCACCGAUCGGAUUGAAAUCCAAUCGCCGAACGUGUACCGGAAUAGAGGUGAGUAUUUUGCUUAAUGCUGUUUACUUUUUUCUUUCCAACACUGUACAUAGGAUAUUUGGUAACUUAUCGAAAAGCUCUUGAUCAACCUGAUAAAUCUUCACAAACUGCUUUAUGAUUAGUUCUCUGACACCAAAUAGAUUAUUAACUUCUUCUACUUUACUACUUCUGUAGCAAUUUCAUUUUAAGCAUCUUCAAAAACCAGGAAUUCUACCAUUGUGUUCACACUAAC